CUGAGCCGUAUGCGGGGAAACUUGAAUGUACGGUUCUCAGGGGGCUUGGGGAUGGCAACAUCCCCCGGCUACCCGAC
rnacentral:ncRNA from 1 species